AUAGGCCUACGGGGGGCAGCAGUGGGGGAUAUUGCACAAUGGGGGAAACCCUGAUGCAGCGACGCCGCGUGGGUGAAGAAGCGCCUCGGCGUGUAAAGCCCUGUCAGCAGGGAAGAAAAUGACGGUACCUGAAGAAGAAGCCCCGGCUAACUACGUGCCAGCAGCCGCGGGAAUACGUAGGGGGCAAGCGUUAUCCGGAUUUACUGGGUGUAAAGGGGGCGCAGACGGCGAUGCAAGCCAGGAGUGAAAGCCCGGGGCCAAACCCCGGGACUGCUCUUGGAACUGGGUGGGUA
rnacentral:rRNA from 1 species